rnacentral:rRNA from 1 species
GGGCACUGGAAGGUNCNUAAACCGAAAGGGGCUCUGCCCGCCCGAGGAUGGGCCGGCGGCCGAUUAGGUAGUUGGUGGGGUAACGGCCCACCAAGCCCAUAAUCGGUACGGGCAGUGAGAGCUGGAGCCCGGAGAUGGACACUGAGACACGGGUCCAGGCCNUACGGGGCGCAGCAGGCGCGAAACCUCCGCAAUGCUCGAAAGAGCGACGGGGGGACCCCAAGUGCCGUGGUACAACCACGGCUUUUCCGGAGUGUAAGAAGCUCCGGGAAUAAGGGCUGGGCAAGGCCGGUGGCAGCCGCCGCGGUAAUACCGGCGGCCCGAGUGGUGGCCACUAUUAUUGGGCCUAAAGCGUCCGUAGCCGGGCUUGUAAGUCCCUGGCGAAAUCCCACGGCUCAACCGUGGGGCUUGCUGGGGAUACUGCAAGCCUUGGGACCGGGAGAGGCCGGGGGUACUCCUGGGGUAGGGGUGAAAUCCUAUAAUCCCAGGAGGACCGCCAGUGGCGAAGGCGCCCGGCUGGAACGGGUCCGACGGUGAGGGACGAAGGCCAGGGGAGCAAACCGGAUUAGAUACCCGGGUAGUCCUGGCCGUAAACGAUGUGGGCUUGGCAUUGGGGGUUCUACGUGAGCGCCCAGUGUCGUAGCGAAGG